rnacentral:rRNA from 1 species
CUACGGGUGGCACCAGUGAGGAAUAUUGCACAAUGGAGGAAACUCUGAUGCAGCAACGCCGCGUGGAGGAUGACGCAUUUCGGUGUGUAAACUCCUUUUAUAUGUCAAGAAAAUGACGGUAGCAUAUGAAUAAGCACCGGCUAACUCCGUGCCAGCAGCCGCGGUAAUACGGAGGGUGCAAGCGUUACUCGGAAUCACUGGGCGUAAAGGACGCGUAGGCGGGAUAUCAAGUCAGGUGUGAAAUCCUACAGCUUAACUGUAGAACUGCACUUGAAACUUCUAAUCUAGAGUAUGGGAGGGGGAGAUGGAAUUAGUGGUGUAGGGGUAAAAUCCGUAGAUAUCACUGGGAAUACCUAAAGCGAAGGCGAUCUCCUGGAACAUUACUGACGCUAAGGCGUGAAAGCGUGGGGAGCAAACAGGAUUAGAUACCCCCGUAGUC